rnacentral:misc_RNA from 1 species
AACGCACAUUGCGCCCCGUGGCAUUCCGCGGGGCAUGCCUGUUCGAGCGUCAUUUCAACCCUCAAGCCCCCCGCUUGGUGUUGGGCGCGGCCCCCGUGGCCGGCCUCAAAGACAGUGGCGGCGCCGCCCGGCCCUGAGCGCAGUACGCGCCUCGCUACAGCGCCGGGCGGUGGCCCGCCAGAAGACCCCCCAACCUCUAGCGGUUGACCUCGGAUCAGGUAGGGAUACCCGCUGAACUUAA